GAUGAACGCUAGCGGCAGGCUUAACACAUGCAAGUCGAGGGGUAUAGUUCUUCGGAAUUAGAGACCGGCGCACGGGUGCGUAACGCGUAUGCAAUCUACCUUUCACAGAGGGAUAGCCCAGAGAAAUUUGGAUUAAUACCUCAUAGUAUAGCAGUUUCGCAUGAAACCACUAUUAAAGUCACAACGGUGAAAGAUGAGCAUGCGUCCCAUUAGCUAGUUGGUAAGGUAACGGCUUACCAAGGCAACGAUGGGUAGGGGUCCUGAGAGGAGAUCCCCCACACUGGUACUGAGACACGGACCAGACUCCUACGGGAGGCAGCAGUGAGGAAUAUUGGACAAUGGGCGCAAGCCUGAUCCAGCCAUGCCGCGUGCAGGAUGACGGUCCUAUGGAUUGUAAACUGCUUUUAUACAGGAAGAAACACUACUUCGUGAAGUAGCUUGACGGUACUGUAAGAAUAAGGAUACGGCUAAACUCCGUG
rnacentral:rRNA from 1 species